UAUGCUGCCAAAUAGGGUAUGCUGGAUCUCCAUAUAGGAUGAAUAUUUUGGGAAUAUUUUGGAAACAGUCUUUUGAAGGAUGGUAACAGAUUACUUUUAGAAAGCAAGAAAGCAUCAUUAUCUCGACCAGCAGUAGGACCAUAGAGAUUUGAUUUUAUGGCAUUUGGGCAAACAACACUCUGAAACAAAUCAAGGGCUCUGUGAGCCAGCUCGUGAAUGCAGAUGUAUUUUGCUAGUUAUUUGUUUGUGUGCAUAAAAGAUAUAUAAGUUAUUCACCCGCUAGGUCUGUAUCGUGAAAUACCGUGACCUCGGCCUUAAAAAUACUGACCGAGAAUUUCCACCUUUGUUUACCUUACGGGCUUAAAGUUGCAAGGCGAGGUUUCGCUUCUGACUUUUGUCGAUGUUCGUGAAGAUUUUGUUCGCUCAUGAGCAUUCAAUAAACUCCAUUUUGUAUCUCCACACAACGCUUUUUAAAGCGUUUUUAAAGGAUUUAAAAAUCCUCCAGAAAUACAGAAUCUCCAAAAAGGACAUUCUCUGGGUUUUGACCAAUUUUUUUUAGUCCAAAUUGAUACGUCGUUCUCAACUCGAAUUGAUCGUAGAAAUGUCUUCUUUCGCUUUAAAUCCUCCACAGACGAUAAGAUGUAUUCACUAAAGAACUUCCCUUGAAUGUGGAUACGUUAAGCUGUUUAUGCAGGUAAAUUCCUGGAGUGAUUUGUUGUUUUUCUCCGUAUGAGGAGACGAUUUGCUGCCUUUUUUUAUCCCAAAUACACUUUCAGCAAACUUGAAAUUGUCGAGCGUGUUGCAAAAUCAUUAUGGCGGGAAAUUGUCAAAAUACAGGGAGUUUGAAGCCGCUUUUCCGUAAAGUCAAUGAUUGUAGAUAAAAUGACAAAUAAAAUGUCGUUUUAGUGUUUUAAAUCUAUAACCUCGGGAGUAAAAAUCCAGUUUUCGAUGGACAUUUUACAAAUCAACUCACUAUUUCGAGCUUUGGAGGUGAGCGAUCCGGUAUCGCGGGGUCCGGAUCGUAGGAUACCGGACCUUACGAGAGCCAAUCAGAGCGCGAGAUUUGAUGGAUUUCGGACCCCGAAAAAAAUAAAUACAGGAUACUGAAGAAGGUAUCAAAUUAAAGAACACAGUAAAGAUGCUGAGAGUUUAUAGAAAUGUCUUUUUUUUUUUUCUAUGUGAUAACACAGCAUAAGUACAGCAUUAUAUGAAUUACGUUUAAAGUUUCUGAAUGUACGAGGAUAAGGUCGAGUCUGACUGCACGAGCCCGGGUUCGAGUGCUCCCCCCUGAGCUCGCUGCAGUCGCACCCUAUCGCAUGUUUGUGUUAAACUUGCAGAGGAUUCAGAGGAGUUUUUCGCUAUUAUGUUUUCGCAUUGAGACAUCACCAGCCCACAAGUUCCUUUGACAUUCAUGCAACUAAUCAGAGAAGAGAUCCAACGAGAGAUGCCGGCCGGGGUCAUGGGGCCACCAUCAGACCAGACAGCAGAUUUAGCCAGUAAUAGCACCCGAACUGCUGUCAACGACCCCUACAGCAACCCCCGCUGCCGGUGUGUCUUAUUCCGCUGUGUCACAAGUAUCCCUCCCUCUAAAAAAAUGGUCACUCAAAUUGUCACCUGUAAAUAUAUUGACCUGUGGGACUUGCCGCCCGCCAACUGCUCCCCAACUACUGAAGCGGAGCCGCAGGUGAUGCUGGAUGGAUGGCUCAUCCUGAGCACUCCCGGAAGCCCAAACAAGCUAUCGAAGACAUCAUGUCCUGGAUGAAGGAGUCGUUCUCCAUCUACAUGGCCAUAACCACUCAAAGACCUCCACUAGUACCUCCUCCUUAUCAUCCGCACUUACCGCAGGUUUGCCGGGCAAGCCUGGCAGAACUAUGACAUUGCUUUCUGCCAGCAAGCGGCCGCUCUUCGUCGUGAAGACUGGUCGACAAUCGACACCCAGAUGUUUAACUUUCAUAUUGCUGGCUCUAUUCCUCUUCUCCCCUCCGCAGCCAAGGUUCCACCGCAGAGUUUACAGUAUAUCCCAGAACAGGUGACGCUGUGUCGCCGACCACUUAGCCUGCCUUUCACCCAUUUGUGUUCAAACAUCAGUGGGGAUCGAACUCCGGUCCCAGCGUACGUCAGCUAAUCAAUGACCGAAUCUUUUUUUUCAGCGUAUUCUUUAAGAAGACCAAAGUAAAAUACCCGCAAUUAUUAAUUGCGCAUAGUGAUUAUGUAUAGUGAAUAUCAUAGUGUCAUGCAAUAUGUUUUAUGUUUGUUAAUGCUCUAAAAAAAGAGCAAAGUUUUUAUUCGAUCAAUAAGCGGAUGUUGUGUGUUUCACAUAUAUAAGAAAGAAAUGCACGCUACCGCUAUCUGUGUACGUUCUCAACAUAAACAACAAGGCCAUCUUUUACCACUUUUUGAUGAUGAAGGUUUUCGCUGACAGCAGUGGAAUUAGUAAGGGUGUGUAUGACUCUACGCUUCCUGGCAUAGAUCUCCGGCGUGUCUCUGCUGAGCUUCCAGCGCAACUAUUAGAAGGCGAUUCUACAUAAUAGUCGGGGAGCAAAUUUCCAGAACUAGCCUAGAAAAUGGAAAACGUAGCACAUGUAGUACAUAAGCAAUCUGUUAUCAUAGAAUUAUUGCCACAUGUCUAAAGAACAAUUCUAGGCACGAUGUACUAAUCGAACGUUGGGACAUCAUACUGCUAGGGCCUGAAACGCGGCACCCAUAUGGUCCCCCUCUUUUCACUUGGCUAAACCCCUUAAAAACGAAUCCAAUGGUAGCGUGCCGUAGCACAAGGCAAUUUAGUGAAAACUUGGUCAAGGAUUAGUUGUUACUAAUCCCAUUGAAGAUAUGAUGAAUGUGGGAGUGCACGAGUUUCUCGGAAAGUCGCAUGUAUUGUUGUUAUUCAUUUGUUUUGUGUUUUUUUUGUAAGAUUUGAUCUAUAUUGGGUCUACCGAUGCCUUAAAUGGUGUUUUAAAUAUUUUCUUGUGAACCUGCAUUUGCAAGUAGCACAGCCUGCAAACUGAGGUGACGCAUAUUAUCUAUGUAACUAACAAACAUUAUCAUUAGAAAACUCUUUUUUAAUUGGAAUAAACAUUGGGGUAAACAUUGAAACUUUGAUCAGUAAUCUACUUAUGUCUAUAUAAACUAUGCUAUCUUAUGUACGUCUACAUCUAGGUGAUGUAAAAGAUGGAGAGCAUCCCGAAUAUACGGUGGCCCAUAGGGGACAGCACACAAAACAAAAUCGCACCGCAAACAAACAAAAGUCGCACUGCAAAUAAAACAAAAUAGCACUGCAAACAAAAUCGAACUGCAAACAAACAAAAGUCGCACUGCAAAUAAAACAAAAUCGCACCGCAAACAAACAAAAGUCGCACUGCAAAUAAAACAAAAUAGCACUGCAAACAAAAUCGAACUGCAAACAAACAAAAUCGCACCGCAAAUGAAACAAAAUCGCACUGCAAAUGAAACAAAAUCGUACCGCAAAUGAAACAAAAUCGCACUGCAAAUGAAACAAAAUCGUACCGCAAAUGAAACAAAACUUUUGUUUGUUUGCGGUGCGAUUUUGUUUUGUGUGCUGUCCUCUAUGGGCCACCGUACGAAUACAAUUGAUGUGAAUGUUGCAAAAAGCAAAAAGAUGUCCAAUAAAAGGUUGCCGAUGGUGGGGAGCCGUUCCCGGGCGUCACCUAUCAAAAGAUCAUGCAAUCAGCCGCAAAGAUGACCCAACAAAGUACAAAAGCCUCCUGAAGUCUUCCGAAAAGGUGUCAGAUGUCAUUGCACGAAUAAAGUCAAGAAAACGACCAAAAAGACAAAAAAGAGGAUCCGACUACAGCUAGAGAAAAUACCACUGAGGAAGAAGAAGUCCAAAAAGAAAAAGUAAAGGAGGAUGUCAACGUGCUUUCUGAAAGCGUGGAAGGUUUCUAUGACCAUGUCAAACGGCCUGAUGGGGGUAGGAAAGACGAAGCGGUUGCCAAAGCCCGCAAGCAGCAGAUUGUUGAUAUGUCUCGUUCUAUCGCAACUGAGGGUCCUAAAACCAUGUUAAACGUGUGGGGGGACACGGACAAUCUGUGGGACAGCUUUUUCGAACCAAUGACUACCAAGAGAAGAAUGUGGCUAAACGCAGUUAACCGAGAAGGGGUGGAGGGGCUUGCGGCAUCAACACUAUUGAGUUACUCCCUGACACUAGAACUGUACAUAGAUUGUUUUCCAACGAAUGGAGUCAGACUCACCAACGAAGAGUAAGAGAAGUUACGCGUUCUGCAAAACGUACAGUCUUCCUGGUGUAAAGCCCUUGCGAAGCACAAAACCGACCAGUAGCGUAGUUUUUACCAAAUUGAAACAUUAAAAAAAGUUAAGUCGACUUUGUUCCUCUACUGAAAGAAGAAGCUGGGAUAUGUUCUAACAAACGUUGUUUACUUUGCUUUCAUAUUUUUUUUUCUAUGCGUUGCCCAUGCAAAUGUUUCACGAGCGUUUGGUAUACUACAGCAGAAAAACCUGUCCUGUUUGUUUAUAUGGUUUCAAAGCUUCAUAAAAGCCUAAUUUUUAACUUAUCACUGGAACGGUUAUCGCAACAUUUUAGGAAAUGUGUUCGAUUGUUACUCGGCUAUGAAUUGUUCUCGAAAAAAAAAAAACGUUAUAAUAUGCAAACAGCUCAUUGCUAGGUGUGGUAGCCUUUUUUGUUACAAAAAGUUGCGGGUUAUAUUUAUCAUUAUUUGAUUAUUCUUUAUUCGUUUGUAAGGAUCAGAAGACAACUG